UACCUGGUUGAUCCUGCCAGUAGUCAUAUGCUUGUCUCAAAGAUUAAGCCAUGCAAGUCUAAGUACGAGCUCUCGUACAGUGAAACUGCGAAUGGCUCAUUAAAUCAGUUAUGGUUCAUUUGAUCGUACAGUUUACUUGGAUAACUGUGGUAAUUCUAGAGCUAAUACAUGCGAGAAGCGCCGACCUCGCGGGAGGCGUGCAUUUAUCAGACCAAAAACCGGCCGCGUCUUCGGGCGCGUUCGCCUUGGUGACUCUGGAUAACUUUGCGGAUCGCACGGUCUAGCACCGGCGACGGAUCAUUCAAGUGUCUGCCCUAUCAACUUUCGUCGGUACGGUAUUUGCCUACCGAGGUUCUUACGGGUGACGGGGAAUCAGGGUUCGAUUCCGGAGAGGGAGCCUGAGAAACGGCUACCACAUACAAGGAAGGCAGCAGGCGCGCAAAUUACCCAUUCCCGACGCGGGGAGGUAGUGACGAAAAAUAACAAUGCAGGACUCGUUCGAGGCCCUGUAAUUGGAAUGAGUACACUUUAAAAGCUUUAACGAGUAUCCAUUGGAGGGCAAGUCUGGUGCCAGCAGCCGCGGUAAUUCCAGCUCCAAAAGUAUAUAUU
rnacentral:ncRNA from 1 species